UGGGGAAUAUUGGGCAAUGGAGGAAACUCUGACCCAGCAACGCCGCGUGAAGGAUGAAGGUUUUCGGAUUGUAAACUUCUGUCGCGAGGGAUGAAGAAUGACGGUACCUCGUAAGAAAGCCCCGGCAAACUACGUGCCAGCAGCCGCGGUAAUACGUAGGGGGCGAGCGUUGUCCGGAAUGACUGGGCGUAAAGGGAGUGUAGGCGGCAUAUUAAGUUAUGUGUGAAAGCCCGCGGCUCAACCGCGGAAUUGCACAUAAAACUGGUAAGCUGGAGUGCAGGAGAGGUAAGUGGAAUUCCCGGUGUAGCGGUGGAAUGCGUAGAUAUCGGGAGGAACACCAGAGGCGAAGGCGACUUACUGGACUGUAACUGACGCUGAGGCUCGAAAGCGUGGGGAGCAAACAGG
rnacentral:rRNA from 1 species